AACGAACGCUGGCGGCGUGCUUUACACAUGCAAGUCGAACGGUAACAGGUUAAGCUGACGAGUGGCGAACGGGAGAGUAAUGCAUCGGAACGUGCCCAGUCGUGGGGGAUAACGCAGCGAAAGCUGUGCUAAUACCGCAUACGAUCUAUGGAUGAAAGCGGGGGACCGUAAGGCCUCGCGCGAUUGGAUGGGUCGAUGUCAGAUGAGGUAGUUGGUGGGGUAAAGGCUCACCAAGCCAACGAUCUGUAGCUGGUCUGAGAGGACGACCAGCCACACUGGGACUGAGACACGGCCCAGACUCCUACGGGAGGCAGCAGUGGGGAAUUUUGGACAAUGGGCGCAAGCCUGAUCCAGCAAUGCCGCGUGCAGGAAGAAGGCCUUCGGGUUGUAAACUGCUUCUGUACGGAACGAAAAGGUUUGGGUUAAUACCCUGGGCCGAUGACGGUACCGUAAGAAUAAGCACCGGCUAACUACGUGCCAGCAGCCGCCGUAA
rnacentral:rRNA from 1 species